GGCCCUGAAAGGAAAGGGGAGGAGUCAGUCUCCAACACCUAGGGGUGCCCAGCUACGGUUUUCAUUGCAGGUCCUUCAGAGAAAUGGAGGGCAGCUUGCUCGUCAGGAGGAGGUGCACAGGAGCUGGCCUCUCAGGAAGGCCCUGCAGAAGCCAGUCCAUGACAGUCCCUCCGAUUCCCAUCUCCCAGCAGCGGGUGCCCGUUAGACUGGCACACAAUGGCUUAUCACCCUUGAGCACAGCAGAGUUCCUCUUGCUCCGCUCAUGCUUUUCCAGUGUGCGUGGGCUCCUGGCAGUGCCUUCUUCCUUUUUAAGUACACAGCUCCAUCUUCGGAGUGACUGAAGGUGGUCUCAAGGUGUAACUGGGACUAGUACUUGGUCCCUGGGGUCUCUAAGAGGUAAGGAACUGUGGGUCCAGAUGACCAGGACUUUGGGUCAAGGAACCACUGAGGGCUGGCCUUCACCUUGCACCUAGUCAGCACUGUGCACGAGGAAAACACCUGGGGGUGCUUCUAGUGUAGUAGACAGCCAACAAAUCACAGCGGUGGACGCAGACUCGUGCUGCACGGCAAGCCCUAUAAAGUAGGUGUACAGGAAGACUGCCCUAUAGAGCUGGAACCAGACAGGAGAGGAGGUGUCAAGAGAGGUGCGGGAAGCAGUGGAGCCAGGAGAACGGGACGUGUGGAAGGAAGAGAAAGGAGAAGCUAGUGUUCCAGUGGCAGUGGGAAGGGAAGACGCAGGGUAGGCUGCACUUCAGAGCUGUGUCCCAGGGUGAUGGGACACGAUGUUAGGACCAGGCUUGCUCAAGACAGCUUAGGGUCCGGGCAGGGAGAGGAAGUGCUGCAGCAGGUGAGAGGGUGGUACACUCCCUGGGCAGGGUGUUUGCAAAGUAGGUAAGGCUGUUGCCAUGAGCAACACAGACCUUGAGAAUGCACUGAACCAGGGUUCUAUGUGAGUCAGGGCCACGUGGGGCAGUGUGGACGGCAGCUGGAGGGGGAGAGCCUCACCUACCUGUGGCGGAGAUUCUUCUCUCCAGAGACUCCUGGCGGUGCUGCUGCUCCAUUACUUGUCUGAAAGGAAACCACAGCAGACACCUUGAGCUCUCUGUGUUCUAGCUCCCAUGUUUGAAAGCUGAUUCUGUGCUACUGCUGAGAGCCACAACACUGGGCUCUGUGUGUGGAGGAAAAGGAGUACCCUGAAGUGCUGUCAUAGGCACCAUCCACUCUUUUCUUUUUUCUUUCCUUUCCUUUUCUUUUCUUUUCUUUCCUUUUCUUGAAAUGGUCUCUCAUUGAUCUGCCAACGAACACCAGGCUUUGCCUGUUUGCCUCUGCCUCCUAAAGUCUGGUAUUCAAGUGAGUGGUGCCAUAUCUAACUUUUUCUUUAAGAAAAAAAAAAAGAAAGAGAGAGAGAGAGAGUGCUGACGCUCUAACCUAGGUCCUUGCAAGCACGUCUGUCACCGGCUCAUCUGCCACUGCACACCCCUGGGCUGCCUCCUACAGAGGGGGAACAGAUGGGAGAGACCUGGCGAGCGGGCACACCCGAGCAGGAAGCAUCGCAGAGAGACGUGCCUCACGCAGUGGACGGAGUCGGCUAAUAGGCUUCUCUGGCUGUUUGGAGCCACUGUGGUGGCUUCAAUCGAUGUGGCCUCAGGAGACACUGCAGACAUGCCUCAUUCUAGCCCCCGUCUGAGGGCCGUCUGGCACUACGGGGUUGGUCGGCACAUUUCAGACGGGGCUUAGGGAAGUGCGGGUCUGCUGGCCAUGGACCUGUCUCCGUGGUCUGCAAUGGCAUGUGCAGGUGUCCUCUGUUGCCCCUGAUGUCAGUGGAUACUUGAACGUGCUGGCCUCAGCUCUGUGUGUCUAGGCUAGCUGAAGGGUGCUUCUGGCUCUACUGGAAAGCUUUCAGGCAGGCAUCUGUGGGGUACGGGGUUACCUUCUCUGGAUGUCCAUCUCCUCAGGAGAGGGGCCAUUCUGCACCUGACGCUGUGUGGAGGGGCCUGUACAGAAGAGACGCAGAGUGGAAAGGUCAGGAGUGGGAGGGAAGAUCCCAAUAGAGAACUGUCAUGGCACUCUCCACUCCUCCUGACAUCAGAGGACACGCCCCUGGCCUGCUCUCGCCCCUGUGCAACACCUACAUAUCCUGAUCUCUAUUCACCCUUUCCCUCAUCGUUUCCUGUGGCUCCUCCCUCUGAAGCAUAGUGCAAUCCAAAUUCGUUGAUGCUCUCUACUUUUCCUUAGACAGCACUGGCCACUCUCCUCAACCCCACGACCAGCGUGUCAGAAUCCUGAGCUCUGACGGGCUCUUGGAGAGAAGAACUAAUGCCUACAGCUGGUGGAUAUCAAGGCCGGAUGAACCUAGGAACUGCACACGUGUGGGGUGGGCCCUCCUUGACCUGCUGCUGACACUGGGAGUCUAGAGCUGUGGGUAAAGCCUGUGAAAUCCUGUACGGCUCCCUCUGUUCUGGGCCCCGUGAAACCUCCUAGGCCAUAUCCACCCUGGGUGGAGUCCACUGCUGAGCCUCCUGUUCAUAGGGGGCCGGUGCUGGAACCCACGUCAGCAUGCUCUGUGCCACACUUAAAGAGAAAUGCAGGCUGCAGCACCAACCUGAGAAAGAGCUGACUGUUCCCCGAGGGCCAGUGCGCAUGGUCCCUUCAAGUGUACAGUCGGUGGCUUGUGUGGUUUUGUUUCCACCUUGGGGUGAAGUGAGUCUACACCUUCAGACAGCAGGCAGUCCCUUUAGCCCUACUUCCCAGAAGCCCAGGGUCUUAGUGGCCUUCCUCUUCUUGUGUGCAGAAAAUGUUAUUUCCUAUGGGAAUCUGAUCAGAGCAAUUCCCAGACAACUUUUACUUCAUCUACGUUUCAAUUGUAAUUCUCACACAGCUAGGAGUGUCCAUGAGGACUUGGGACCACUAAAGAAGCCAGGCCCAGGAAGUUAGGUGGCUUGCUCAAAGGUUGUGCAAGCAGAGCGAGGCAGAGCACUGCCAAAUGUCAUUCUCAAGUUCAGUCUCGGCAUGAUGUCAGACUGGCUGGAAGAAUGAGAUGGUGACUCACGCCACCUGAAGCCACUCACAAGCUGCCCUGUCCCUGGAUGGAGCAUCCAGGUGCGGACCUGUGUCUGCGCAGUAGAAAGGAAUUGCUUGACCUCUCCUCACUAAUUCUGGAGAAGGCAGGUUUCACAAUGCCUCAGCCCUCCAUUCUGGGACUCUGCUGCUAGCCUGGCCAAGGCUGUGGGGGUUUAAAUGAGAAAUGUCGUCCGUGCUCUGGCUAUCUGAACACCCAGUCACCAGUCAGAGGUGCUGGUUGGAGGUUUAGGAGGUGUGACCUUGUGGGAGGGAGUAUGUCAUGGGGGUGGGCUUUGGGAGGUCACAGCCUUGUGCUGCUUCCAGUUUGCGCACUGCUCCUGCCGCCACUUCUCCCCACUAUGAUGGACAGACUCUAUGCCUUUGGACUGUGAGCUUAUGGUGUUUCCUUACAGCAGCACACAGGUAACUAUAUCAUAGGCCUUAGGUUCAAGCUUGAACAACUGAACUCACCCCUGGUCUAGACUGUCUUUCCUCCUUCAGGAGCCGGAGUGCCUAUUCUGGCAACCUUGUGUUGCUCCUUGUCUAAGGCGUGGCCCCAUCCUAUGACUAAGACCCUGGAUGCCUGGCCCACACUGGCUUGGCCACCGCAAAGGCUGCUCAGCCACUGGCCUGGCUUGGUUACUAUGGUUGUUUCUUCUCCUGUUAAGACAGACUCUGAUGGUAGCUAUGCUCACAGUGUUCCGGUGUUAUACACCUAGACUUCUCAAUCUGUAUGCUGACCUAGACUCCCAACACCCUCAGCUAACCUGCUACUACAGAAAGCUGGGGAAGGCCAUGAGGAGUCACGGUCCCUUCCAAGCCUUGAGCUCUGUCCUGAACAGGAAAAGAUGCCCUGUAUGCGUGAGUCCCUUUCCUAUCCAUUGUCCAGCCGUGCCAUGGCGGAUUUGGACAGGAGGCCUGGGGAAGGGGCUUAUUCUUCCAUAAUGGUUCUGGUCCCCUGUGAAGCCCUGGACAGCAGCUCACUUACUGGGACCGCUCCAGCAAGGCAGAUUUCUCAAGUGCAGUAGAUAUUGGGGGGAAGUUGUGGCUGCGACUGAUGAGACACUCACCUGUCCUAUGCUGAGCUACCACAGACAAUUUCCCUUGUAGCUGUAACCACAGGGCAAGAUGUUGGGCUCAUUGUAUCACCUCUUACCUGCUGGGCUGAGCUGUGACCUUGCAGGAUCCCUGACCCCCUGACCUACCAGCUAUGACUCAGUACUUAACUACAACUUAGUAUUUAUUUUAUUUUGUUUGUUUGGUUGGAUUUUCAAAACAGGGUUUCUCUGUUCAACAGCCCUGACUGUCCUGGAAUUCACUCUGUAGACCAGGUUGGCCUCGAACUCAUAGAGAUCUGCUUGCCUCUGACUCCCAAAGUAUUGGGACCAAAAGCAUGCGCCGCCAUGCCUGGCCUUAAGAGUAUUUUAAAACGAUUCAUUUUAUCUUUAAUCUAUGUGCAUGUAUCUCUUUAUCUAUUGCAUGAGGAUGGGUGUCGAUGAAGGCCAGAGAGGGCACUGGAGCCCCUGGGCUGGAAUCCAGGGUGGCUGCACGGAUGGGGUAUGGUUCAGUAGGCGAGGCACUCGCUGCACAGGCAUGAAGACUUGAUCUCCAGCACCACGGGAAGUGACCACACACCUGUGACUCCGGUGCCUGUAGGUCCAGUCCCCGCAGUGGGCCUUACCCCUGGCAGCAAGCCAGGCAAGAGACAGAAGAGAAGAGACAGGACUACCUUCUGAUGGCCCUCCUCCCAGAACACAAAGAGUUGCUAGGAUAGAGGCUGAGCCUUGGUGAAACCAGAUCCAAACUUAUCUGCUUCAAGCUGUGAUGGUUCUUGGGGAGAACUGAGUUCUUGAUGUUGGGAAGGUCUGCUUUCUAGCCUCAAUUCCAAGUGCACUACUCACUUACACUUCCCAAAUAUCUGGCAAAUCAGAGGAUGUCCUUUAUCCCUGAAGGUCACAAGGUGAGGAUCAUGACAGGAAAUAAGGGCAGGAGAGAUGGCUCAGUGGUUAAGAGCACUGACUGCUCUUCCAGAGGUCCUGAGUUCAAUUCCCAGCAACCACAUGGUAGCUCACAACCAUCUGUAACAGGAUCUGAUGCCCUCUUCUGGUGUUUGAACACAGCUACAGUGUACUUAUAUAUAAUAAAUAAAUAAAUUUUUUAAAAAUAAAAAAAUAAAGAUUAAAAAAAAAAAAAGAACGACAGGAAAUAAACAAGAAGAGAGUGAAAGGGGCCAGUCUCCAACCAUGGGACCACAGGAAGUAGAAAGACAAGAGGAGAGAGGAAGCUGGCUGGAGAGAAUGGAGCAGAGUAUAGAUGGAACACAGGGGUUGGGGGGCAUGGGGGUAGGAAGAGACGACAAGAGACUGAAUCCCCGAGAGUGAGCUCAGCACCGGGUAGGGCAGAAGCACACCAGGAACCCAUUAGAGGUGACAGGUAGGUAAGAGCACCCUCCCCUACCCUUUACAGCUUCCUCCAGACUGAGUACGCUUGCUGGUGGUGCAUGCUUUUAGUCCCAUGUACUAGAUCCUAUCCUUCUCUUUAUGGCUGAAAACUGUCUGGUCAGAGCUGUGCCUAGAAGUCUGAUGGGAUUAGAAGGCGUGUUGUGUAGGCCAAGCUCUGCUCACUCCCCUCCUCCCAGUAGUCCUCGGUCUCACCUUCCAGCUCCGUUCCAUCCCUGGCUGUACUCUUAUAGGACAGAAGUCUCCUCCAGGGUGAUUCUGUCCAUUGUAUUUAGUUUUGACAUUUUGAGACAAGGUCUCACUAUGCAGCUCAGGCUGGUCUUGAAUUCUCAGCAUCCUGAGUCUUUGCUAGAUUUAUCUUGGCUGGGUUUGUCUCUAGGUAAUUGAGCAGGGACUUCCUUCCUUCUUUGUGCCUCAACUUCCUAUACCCAUGAAAGAUGGAAACAAGGACCAUUUAUCUCCAGCCCUCCUACCCUGCUUUUGGUUCUGGGGAUUAAGUCUGGGGCAAGGGCUCCGCCAUUGAGCAACAGAUCUAGUGCGGCCUCCAGGUAGCUACAAUUCAAGGACAAACAAGAAAACAAACCAGAUCAUCAACAGUGGGCAUCUUAGGCUUCUCCUUGUUUUGAAUUUCUAAAUUAUGCACGAGUAGCACUCACCAUCUUUGGGGCAGGUAACGAGGUGGGUGGCUACAAGUCUCUCCAGUCCCUGCCUGGACGUCUUGUGUAGCUUUACAUUCUGAGGUGGGCAGAUGAGACAAGGCUGACACCUGCUCCUAAGGAGGGCUCUGCCCCUCCCUACCCACCAAUGGCACUCUGGGCAGCAGCCCCAGCUCCUCUGGGACAGAGCCCAGGCUAAGUUUCCAGCUCUCCUGUUAGGAAAGGUAUCUCCUGGGCGUCUGAAAAGACGGAACCUGAGAUCCCAGGAGUGCCAGGGACAAAGGACCCACACUGCUCAUUGAGGCCUGAUGUAAUUUCUGGCCAGCGAGCGACAGCUGCCUGCUCUGAGCUGGGCAGCGGCCCAAGUGCUCUUGAGUCUCCCUGGCUACCAUCUUUCUAGCUGCCUGUUUUUCCUCUUCCCCCUUGGCUAGAGACUAGGCUCUUUGGUGUGCACGGGUGUCCUUCCUGCUGCUACACAGACACAUGUCUAUGUAAGAAGGGAGUCUGUGACCCUGGGUGGUCUGGCCACUAGAGAGUUACCUGGUCCAAGCCUCAUAGGAAUGGGUAGGAGGACUGGAGCCAGCUCCUAGGACAAUGUCCCCCAGCCCACGACUCUGACCCUUCUAGUAUACUCAUACUAUCCUCCACCCUGGCUACAGACACCUCCACACCCACACUGAUAAAGCAAAGGCGGUUCCUGUGUCCAGCUCACCAAUGCAUAGAGGCACGACUGUCCCCACCUCCACAUCUUUGUUUUCUGAGACAGGGUCUCACUGGCCUGGAACUUGCUGUGUAGAUCUGGUCUGCUAGAAGCUGGUCUGUAACUCAGAGAUCUGCCUAGUCUCUGGCACAGCGAUUUGGGCUCAUGAUGGCUAAUGGCCACUGGCUGUUCUGCUACCCCUGGUCCCCCAACAACAUUCCCUUAUCCUUGAGCCCUGGCACUGGGCUGGGCAGGUAGAACUCAGCAACUAGACCACAGGUAUUGUCUGGCCCGAGAGCAUAGACUAUGACAGCCCUGUUGCAUGGAGAAUCUCUCUUACAGACAGGGAGCCUGCUUCCAAGAAGGGAGAAGCCCAGGCCACACAGGAAAGAGCUGACCAGCCUAUGCUGGUGAGCUUCAGAAAUAACAUGCAGAGGAGAGGACCUCUUCGAUUGUGACAGAUGGCAGCUAGAGACUUGGUACCACUGAGCACUCCUCUCUGGUCCCCUACUCUCUCCUUACAUGGAGGGAUCCUGAGACCCAGGGAUAGGGCAGCAGUUUGCCCAAGGUUACGUCCACAUCAGAGCCAACACACACUAGAAUUCAGCCUCCAGUUCUCAGGUCAGAGAACUGUAAGAUUAAUAUAAAUGAUUUCUUUUAUUCCCACUAGAUUCUACACCCCACCCAUGGACUUGGCUUGCUCAGGUGAUCUCCUUGGGUAAGCAGUUUUUCUAAUAACACCCCCCUCCUUUCCUAAAAACUCAUUAAAGAACACAAAAUUAAUCUUAAAAUGAACUCCAAACAGAAUUAGAGUAACUAUCUACUACAUCUUUAUGGUUUACAAAGCAUUUUCAUAUUACUUUGGGGAGUAAAUAUGCUCAAUCCUCCAAUAGGAUAUAUUAGUUUUCCUAGGGGAACUUAGACUCAACUUGGGAAGGGAGGACAUCUUGCGUGGAGUGAUCAGGCCUCCGCUGGGUCGUGUAGCUAGAGCAGGAGUCCAGGCCUCCCAAUGCCAGUUUAUCCUGCCAAUUCUGCAAGGACCUCAGACCCAGGGAGAGGAGAUGCUCUCCCCAGGAUGCAGCACUCAGCCCCCCUACCCCAGCCCCAGCAGUUGGGAGAGAGGAAUCCCAGAAGGAGCAGGAAGGAAGGGGAGAGCUCCAUCACCUACAGGUCACUCUGCAAAGCACGGUGCAGUCACAGUGGCAGAAGCAGAAGCAGUGAAAGGUCCACUCCCUGCUGACCAUUACCGGCAGAGCUUCUCCGCACAGUCUGCAAGGUGCCUUGCGCAUCCUGGCCACUUACCUCCUCUUCCUCAGCCGCCUGGCUGGUGCAGUGGUAACUGAUAUGCUGUCCUGUGGGCAAGUGGGCUUCACGUUGUCAAUCUUUAAUGAGGCUUCCCAGCUAACCUAUCAGAACCCUCCUGGCUACCUGAUUCCAGCAUGCUUCAUGGGCCCCGAGGGACUGUGCAGACCCCCUGCAGCAGCAGGGCUACCAGGUGUUUAUCUGAAGGGACCUCCCAGCCUAGCUCUCUUCUUACUCUGACAGAAGCAGGGUGAGUGCAGGAAGAGGGGACAGGGGAGUGGGCAGAUGAAUUCCUGGGCACUGUGCCCUGUUGCCACAGCCUCUUCCCCAGCUCUCCUUAGAACUCUGGGUGCCCUGUCACCAUUACAUGUGCCUUUCCUCCUCACUUGCUCCUAUCACUCCUAAAUGCUUUCCUAGCCUUACCAGCUCCAAGGUGUGUGCAGGACUGACGGCUCAGCCUGCCAGCAAGCAUUCCUCUCACACUGCACUGCCACCCUGCUGUCCUGGGUGGCAGGCUGCCCCUGCCCCUGCUCCUGCUGUGUCUGGGUCACCAGGCCUGGCUUUGCAGUUGCUGCAGUUGUCUCUUCAGGGUGGGACAUGAGCGCUGCCUUUCAGAGCAGAGCUGGCUGUGCUGGCUACAGAACACCUUGUCAGCAACCAUGGCCAUAAAGCAGGAAAACCAGCGUCAGACAGGUCCGUGGAAACAGUGACAGGAGGGACCACCAGGCCCUGAGAUGCUGGGCGUGACUCCCUCCUGCCCAGAGCUGCUCCUGCUCCUCAGGGCUGUGCUUAAUAGUUUUAAUUGUCAACCUAGCACAGCCUAGAGUCACUCAGGGAAGUGUUGCAGGGUCCAGAAGAGGAGAAAGCUAGUUGGGAGCAAACACGAAUGCAUUUACUUUCUUUUUACUCUUGAGUAUGGCUCUGACUAGCUGCUUGAGUUCCUGCUUUGUUGUCCCUGAAGGGAUGGUCUGUCAUUCUGUAAGCCAAACAAAUCCUUCUUCCCCAGGUCGCUUCUGGCCAGGGUGCUUUAUCACUCUAUCUAGGAUACAGAAGUUAACACUGUUUACAAGACCUGCCGACUUCUUCACAUGCACUGUGAUUUCUCCUGCUUUUGGUCUCUGCCUCUCUCCUGAAAACCUUAAAUGUACAUUCUCUGGCCUUUCUAGAUCCAGGCCUGUGUGUUUGCACUGGGGGACUUCCCACAGCUUCCUACUGGCCUCUUCCCAGGCUUGCAUCUUCAGGCCUGUCCACAGGCUGGAGGUCAGAAGGCACAGUCCUUCCUCACCAUUCCCUGGACAGGGGCCUAGAGAUUCCCCAGUGGUUCUCACGGGAAACACUGUGCUUGGGAUCUGAGGGCUUCUUAAAUCCCUGACCUAGCUUCUCAUUGCCUCUCUCAUCAUCAACUGUGCUGGCCUUAUUCCCACUUGACACAAACUAGAGUCCUCUGAAAGGAGAGAACCUCAGCUGAGGAAAUGCUUCCGUAAGACCUGGCUGUGAGAGUCAGCUGGGGCUGAAGAGUCAGCUGUAAUCAACAAGAUACCUGAACUACUCAAAUGAAACCUUUGCAUUGCUGGGAUUCCACUGGAGCUGAGAGUUUGCUGGUGUUUAAGAAGAGACCAGCACUGUCCAGAUUGUUACUCUGCUGACCGUGGUGAUCACAGAGACCCACACACUGUCCGGAUCCACAUCCAAACCCCACACACUGUCCGGAUCCACAUCCAAAGCUCCUUUUGCCGGUCACACACAUCAUGGCCACUCACAGGCUCCUUCCCCAGUUCCAAUGCACAGACACCAUCUGCGGCUGGACACUGCCUUUGGAAAUGCCAGCUGAAGCUUUAGGGGAAGGAGGCAAAAUCCCACCACCGAGGCACCUUGCUUCAAGUGCCAUCCCUGCCCUGCUCUCCUGGAAUAACGUUAUUACAAGACGUCUGACGUCUGUGGUGAGUCUUGAGAGGAUGCUGGAUGUGUGUGUGUGGGGGGUGACCCUUAAGGACAUCUCCCUGGCACAAGGCAUCCCAUACAACAGUCAGGUCACAUAACCACAUCAGCACAAGGCAUUACAACCAUUGCAGAUGCAGCAACAGGCUCAAAACAAAUCUGAAGCAAGGCAGCCUGUUUCUUCCCGCCAUGCUCUUCUCCUCUGAUGCCUAUUGUCUCAGGAUGAAAGGAGAAGUAAUGUUCUUUCUAACCCUGUUCAUUUUCCUUGCAAAGUCAAAUCAACGGUUGGGACCCAAUUCUUGCCACACUUCCUCCCCUGAUAAUUGGCUUUCCCCAUUGUGAGAUGACUGAGUGACGAUGGAUGGAAUCACAGACAUGGAACAGGACGGAGUCUGAUCUCACAUGGCUCCUAGGCCAAGCAGUUCUCCAGCCUCAGAACUGAAGCCCUCUCUAUAACCAACACUUUGAAACGUCUCAUAAUACCCUGAAAUGCAGUUCAGGAAUUCUAUAACUGCUCUACAGAGAUGACAGAAAUCUGGGUAGCACUUUAAGUGCCAAAGGGAGGCAGAAAAGUGAUCUAUAAGAAGUGUCCACUGUGGAGUAAAGGGUCAGACACACCUCCCCAGACUCUGAGGAAAUGUGGCUGCCACAGACAGAUCUGUUACAGGGGUCAUCUGGAUGACUAAAAUAUCACAGCUACAACUCUGGGGACAGGGUUUUCCAGAACAGAAAACUACUCUCAGUAAAGUUACAAACAGAAUCAAGCCCAGCUUCCCUCUGAUGUGUGCACAUUGUUAUAUUUCUAGAAAAUUUAGUAUAUUCUAGAACUGUUUAAAACAUUUUUCUUAAGACAGUUAAGUUCUAGCUCAGAAAAUUCAGAUUCUGUUUUCUAGCCUCAUGCUGCAAUGUGCUUAGCAGGUGUGGCUUAUACACAAAAAGUGCCUUUGUUUCCAUGCCUUCUCUGUGGAAUAAUUUUUAUUCCUGCCUUUUCAGAGUCUAGUACACCAAUGGAGAAAAAAAAAAAACAAAAACAAACAAAACAACAAACCCCUGAACCUGCCUCUUGAUUCCAGGACUCUAGAAUUGCUGGGCUCUUCCUACUGACUCAAGUGAAUUAAAGAGCGGCUCCCUGCUGCUGGAGAGGGAAACUGAGCAGGACGGAGUGAGGAAGAGCAAUGGUCAACACCUUUCUCUGCCUUGGGGCUGGGCAAACCAACAGUCCAGGCAAAAGGCAGGGCACUUUCUGGAGGAGGUGUCAGCACCAAGGCAGACGGCUGACUCCAAAGCUCUCCGUGCUCUCCUGCAUGGGGCCUAAAUGAUGGCAUGAGCCGGUCUCCCUGGCCUAUCUGGGUUCCAAUCCUUGGUAGGAUUAGUCUGCAGGGGCUGCAUUGUAGGCAGAGCUCACCAAACCAAGACUUACACUUCCUCAGCCCCUGGAAGCACAGCUACAAAAUCACUGGACUUCAAACCAGAAAACCCAGCCUUGACACAGUACAGAUGAUAACCAUCUGGCUCACUUGAAUGUAAAGCGACCCCACACACACUUGCAUUUGUAGGCAGGGACGCUCACAUUGCUCAAGGCUUCCUUGGCCGGAAUGAAGCAAACCAGAGCUCAAACCAAGCAGAGUGACUCCAAGCCUGUCCAUAGCCACCCACUAUGCUUAAGUAAGAUGUCCUCCCUCAAAGCUGCUGCAGUAAAGCCAUGAGCAGAUUCCUGUUCUGCUCGAGUGCCUUUGCUAGUCCCCGCCCCAAGCCUCAGCAGGACAGAGCUGCCACCUUUCCAGUUUCGUCUGCUGCAGUGCACCUGGACCCAGGCCCCGGAGGCCCCAGACACUUGUGCUUUCUGUCCUUGCCAGUGCAGUGCUGCUGUCUCCCAGCCCAGACGGGCAGCUCCCUGCUUCCUUUUGUUCCCCAAGUACUUGGCACACACUCAUCCCAGCACUCGCUGCAGAACACUAGUGAGUUAGUUAUUAAUCUGUAAACUCUAAAUUCUGAAGCACCGAUCGUUAGGACGCCAUUUACUUAACCACUCUGCCUAGGCAGUCUCUCGCCAGGUAUAUAUAUGUUCUGGGACAUGGAAGUAGGAUGGGCAACAGAAGCACAGUCACUGAGGGCCUCAGGAGCUUCCUUCCCUACACACCGCACUGCACGUUACUCCCUCUUGGCCGCUACUCUGAACCUCAUCAACAGUGAAGGAGCCGGGACAGAACGAGAGAGAGCCUCAGCACCCAGGACAGAUGGCCCUGCUCACCUCCUUCUUGGGAGUUCAUGAUGUUCAGGGCAAAGAGCAUCGCGUUGGAGAAUGUGGUUGCUUCUUCCUUACUCGCAAAGUUUAAGCCAUAGACCUGACGGGCGUCUCGCCACUGAUGGAAGGUGGGUGUUGCCUGAUUGUACUUCAGCCCUUUCACAAUUGAAUAAUUGAUCACAACCUGGAGGAGAAAAGAGAGAAAUACAUGUAAAUAAAUAAAAUGUAAGUGAGCUGCAGUGAACUGCCAUGGGGCAAAGACACCACAUCCUUUUGGCCACAGGGUGGGGGUGGGUGAGUCCCACAGAAGGGAAACGGGGAUCGGACCACUGCAGACCACAAUUGAAUGGUUGCAAAACUUGUCAUUUCAUCUAACUAGUUCUGAGCUGGGGGAUCAGGUAGCCAGGCUGGGUUCUGGUCCAGACCUUGUCUCUUGGCUGUGCCACUUGGGGGAUCAAUGCAGUUUUCCACAGCUGUUUCUCCAGCAAUAAUGUGGAAGAUCUAAUGCUGCCUUACUGACCUUGUGGGGUCCUGAAAGGUCUCCCGAAGCCUGCUUCGUCUCUGUGCUUUAUCCAUAGUUCCUAGAUAUGAAGCCCUAAGGUAACGAACAGUCUUUUGCAAUUUGCUUUCCGUUUCCCACAGCCCUCAGCAGAGUGCUGAGAAUUCAUAACAAGUUCUAGUUUCAAGGAUGACUUGUAGAAAUGUAGUACACAGACAUACAGUCAUUACUGUCUUUGUUAUUAAUCAACCAAUAGAUAGCACACUGUGUCAGAUGCAAUGUCAAGCCAGGCAGGGAAUGAGAAGGCAGACACUCAACAGCAAGUCUGCUGGCCUCUAGAUCUUUACUCUUCUCGACACUAAAAGAGAAUGGCUUUAGGCUAGUAAGUGCUGCUCCCUGAAGUCAAUGGCAGUAAUGACACUCUGGGCUGUAGCUGUCACUUUGUUGGGUGACCCUCCAACUAUGAGUCUUCUUGCCCUUGGAGCAGGAAGAGUAUGGUAAUGGCUUGUUGCUCUCCUUAAGUGCUCAGACUGCUGCACUGCUGAAUCAGGAAAGGUCAGAACAGCAUCAUCCUAGGUCCCUAUCCUGCGCAAGAUGGACGUGGGUCGCCCUAUAGCAGACUGAAGCGAGAUGAGCCAUUGAACGCACAUGCACUAAGUCAGGAGGAGAGAUGAAUCAUUUCACAGUUUGAUUGCCACACAGCAACAGGUAGGGACUUUGGCUAAUAUCUAAUACAGGUUUCUGAGUAGGAGCACAUUUACCUGUGUAUGCUGCUAAGCAGAAGACCCAAGCUGGCGGUUGACUGGUUUAGUUUUUAGGCCACCGAGAAAGGGCUUGAGCUUUUGUGAAGUGUAUGUAUGAGAUGGACUGCCAAGUAAGCCAGGAUAAAAUGGCUCUUUAAGACUGGAGUCAUAUACAGAACCAGAGAGCUAAGUCCCUGCUUCAUUUUAUCCCAGUCAACACGCAGCAGGAGUUCUGUGUUCAAUCUUUAGUUUUGAUGGACACCAAGAAACCAGAGCAAAAAAAAAAAAGAAGAAACAGGGCAAUGCUAGGCAUGGUGGCACACACCUUCAAUCCCAGCACUGGGAUUUCUGAAUUUGACGCCAGGUUGGUCUACAAAGCAAGUCCAGGAGAGCUAGGGCUAUUACACAAAGAAACUGUGUCUCAAAAAACAAAUGCAGAAAAGAAAUGGGAGCAAGUGAAAGGGAAAGCUGUGAGAGAGGCCUGACGUGAGGCUGCUGAGAUCGAGACUCCCUGGAGACAUGCUCAGAGGAAGUGAGACUUCACAGUCUGUGAGGUGAGAUGCUCCCAGAGGGGACUUAACAUGCAAGAAUCCAGAGGGACAGAAUACGCAUCCCAGGCACAGAAAUAGCCUGAACAGCAGAAUCACUGUGAAGAACUCUGGGAUCUUAGGAACUCUUUUUAUGGUUGGGAAAUUGGGGGCCAGGAAAAACAAGAGACAAAGUUACACAGUAAACUAAUGGGAGAGCUGGAGUUAGAGGCUGAGUCUGCAGAGAGGAUUACGUGCUUCUGCUCACUGCCAGCAAAGUGAGCUGACAGUGUUCUCUAGUUUCCCUUGGCCUGGCUCUGUCUGCACGGCGCCUUGUUGGAGGAAGUGUGUCACCAGAGGUGGGCUUGAGGUUUCAGAAGCUCGUCAGCCCAGUGUCACUUUUCUGCUGCUUGCCAAUCUAAAUGUAGAACCCUUGUUUUUUCAGCAUGUCUGCCUAUGUGUCACCAUGAUGAUAAUGGAUUAAACCUCUGAAACUGUAAGCCGGUCCCAAUUAAACAUACACAUUUUCCUCAUCAAGAGUUACUGUGGUCACGGUGUCUGUUCACAAUAGAAACCUCACUAAGACACUUAUAAUACUCUACAGCUGUUGGCUGCAGUUUCCGUAACAAACCAGGUCAGGCUGGUUAAUGAUGCUAACAGGGAUCGCUGUUUUCACUCAUCUCUGUCUGCUUGUUCAGGAUGCUACUUGAGGCAUAGUCAGCAUCUGUGAGUAGGCUUUGAAAUUCAUCUAUUUCCUGAAAUCUCUAGAUUGGUCCAUUUCUGCCUUAUAUAUUUGGAACAUACAUUAUUAGAUACAUUCAAAUUUGGGGCUGCUGUGACUUCUUUUGGUGAAGCCUCUUCUUAAAAAGGUCAGUCUCUUCUCCUUUGGAAUACUUGCUGUCUGUCAUGUCUAACAUACAUACCAGCUUUUCUAGUUAGGUUUAUUUUAAAGAUAAUUCUUUAGUAUUCAGCAGGACUGAUCUAGGUACUUCCAAAGGAUAAGCUUAUUUUAAAUGUUGCACUUUCCACAUAGGAGCUGUGAUCACACCGCUGACUUAUUUUGGAGAGUGUGGGAGUACAUGGGAGUGCCUCUCCUAAGUCUGUUGUUGUUGUUGUUACUGGUUACUUGUUUCUAAAGCCCUUGAAACACCAAAUAUGUCUAACACGGUUUUGAGGAUUCUGAGUAAAAGUAAUCUAAAGGUCUUUUACAUAGAAAAAAGCUUACAGUAGAGAACGAACUUCUUGGUCCCUAUGCUAUUGGCUAGGAUCUGAAAAACUAUGUAAGUUAGUAAAGACUCUGAAACCCAAAUAAGUCUCCAUCUAAUGACAGAAUAAUCUUCUCAGAGUCUUAUCUAAACCCAAGCUUACCUCAUGGGCUCGCAGGGAAACACACAGUAUGCUGUGGUUUGUCUGUUUUCAUUACUAUAGCGAGGGACAAAGCAGGCUGAUUUUAUAAAGAGAUCUAUUUACCUCACAGCGCUGGAGGUCAGGAGUGACCAAAGGGUGUGAUGGGCAUGGAAAACUUGCCACGAGAGAAGCUAUCGGUGAAGGCUGCAGCUGUGGCUCAGUGCUAGCGCACCUGCCUAGCACGCAUCAGCCUUUGCUUAGCAUGCAGGGGUGCUGAGACCGCCUCAGUUUCAGAUUUUAAAACAAUCAACCACUUAGGAUACCCACUAUGAUUUAGAAACAGUGCCUUCAUGUCAAAGGAUACACCCUAGAAAGAAACUGUCACCAAGGGGAAGGAGGGCCUCUAAAGGCCACAGGAGUUCAGGGCUAGGCAGACACCUGUCCAGUGGGCAGUACCUCCAGCAGAACUCCAAGUCUUUUGUUACAUGGUUAACCUGCUGCCACAGGCUUCAGAGACACCAGGAAGCCAGGUACUCUCUUAGCCAGCCUGAGCACAAGCUGUCAGAAAACACGGCUUAAGGAGAGGCGGUAUAUACAAAGCGUUAGUGCUGUUGUUGCUUUAUGUAUGGGUGUUUUGCCUGUACGUAUGUCUAAACACCAUGCAGUCUGUGAGUGCCAUAUGAGUCUGAAGAAACCAGAAGGCAGAGGUUGAGGCCAAGUGGCUUCCUCAAUUGUGCACAGCUUGUGUGCUUUAUCUACAGAGCCGUCUCCCUAGUCCACACCAACCAUUCUUUUCAAGCCUUCUCACAGUUAUUAUUCUGAUCUGACAGAAUACUUUAUCUUACUUUAUAUUUUAUUAGCUAUUGAAUUCUGAUGUGACGCAGUGGAGUGGAAAGGUGUGUCUUACUGUUUGCAUAUGACAGAGGAAAUGAUUCUGAGAAAAGAUAGUUAGCUUUCGGUCUCAUACUUUGGCCUAAGGCUGUAGAGUCAGAUCUGAACCUGUGCAUGCACUGGUAGGCCUGCGCUCAAGGGCGGAUGCUGACUGCAAACGUUACCUGCUGAUCCUGUAGCUUGACCCCUACAACCCUGAAAGUGUUGCUGGCAGUGUUGUGGUAGAUGUUGAUCCGGCUGAAUCCCUGCUGGCCAGGCUUGAUUGGUACCCAUUUCUUACUGGUGUCAUCGUAGACCAUCACGGAGGCCCGUGCUUGGCAGAUACUCUGUUCGCUGCAGAAAGAGCAAGAAAAUACCGUGUCACACUUGGCCAAGGUGGACAGAUCUUGGCCCUAUCCUGGAACAAAGGUCAAAGGCAACACGAACUUGCUGCCAGAGCUUCCACCUGUCCACAGUAGUGCUGCUCUGUGAAGUGAUGAGUUUGCCCCCAAAAAGACCAAGCAGAGUGAAUGAGGAUCUGCCCAAACCCAAGCUUGGGAGGCUCAUCGCCUUCCUUUGCAGGAGGUGUGCUUGAAGGAAAAGGAAUUACGAGUUGACUCUUAGAAACCCUGCGUUACAUAAUACAAUAUACCUACGCACUGCUGCCUCACACAUGGCUUUAAGUAGCCACUAAUUACCCACAUUUGAUGAGGAAAUUGUGGCUGAGACUCUGGGGGGAGUCACCUGAGUUUACAAGGUACCCAGGGGUGGGAUCUCAGACUUUGAGCCACUUCUACCUCCACACCAUACCACACAGAGGCUUUCUUUGCAGCAUCCAACUAAAUGUUCACUUUGUAUCCAGUGCCAAGGCAGGACAGCAUGGGAAAUGCCAGGUAGACAAUGAGGAGGUGAGGUGACCUAGAGAACUGAGCAAUGGUUGCUCGCACACUGGUUCUAGGCACAGACACCAGGCAAAGCAAGGUCACAUGUUUAGAAUAUGUCAGAAAACCAAGGACUCAGCAGGAGCCUCCCUCUGCAGAGGUCAAUGUCACCACUAAAGGCAUGCACCACACUGGCCAGCUAUUUCAUUUUCAGAGCCCAGAAUCUUGAAUUCAGUCUUGGUGUAAGGAUUCCCAAACAGAAAAGGUAAGGCGAGGCUGGCAACAGCAGAGUGACAGUGCUUAGAAAGGAGGCCACACUGGACCAGAGUGGACCACAUGGUGGACGAAGACAAAGUCUCACCCAUGUAGAGAAACAGUGAAGAAGCAAAGUGACAGUGUUGAGUAAUGAGAGCCAGCAGACUAAGCAAGCAAGGAAUGUCACACUGUGGUUAUUUAUCAUAAGGAUGUCACACUGUGGUCAUUUAUUAUAAGGAUGUCACACUGUGGUCAUUUAUUAUAAGGAGGGCAGGGAACCAAAAUAUUUGGAAACAGCCUUUAAAGGGUUAGUCAGUCCUCUUGGAAAGGAAUGUGGCCAAUUCAUCUUGCAGAUUGAGGGCUGAGCUCAGGACCUCCUCUGUGGCUCAGAUCUUGUGGUCCACAGAUGCCGGUGGGCCAAAGGACAGAUGGAUGGGAUAGGGCAGUGGCUGCUGCAGGGAGCUUACAGACAGGAGUCAGACAACGGACCACACACACCUCACCUGGCCAGGAGAACUCUGGGGAAUGGGGAUCUUAGCAGGAAAAUGAUUUGGGAUUAAAGAUGAUGGUCUUCAAUUCCUAGACAAAGCAGAUGCAGGAGGUAGGGAGAGGAGACAGGCAGCCCAGACAGGAGCAGAGACAAGAACCACACAGUAUGCGGAGAGCUGCAGGCCACCCAAAGUAGGGGCAAUGUGUCUGGGGUAGCACAUGUUAUUCAGAGGUUGUAAGAAGGGGGAUAAAAGAAAUACAUUUUAGGUAUUGUAAUGAUAGCCCCCUCCCCCACUGUUGUUUUUAACACUGUGGGUUCAAAUUAACCUGUGGUUAACCAAAACCCUGUUUUCUUUCCCAUUUGAACAGGUUUUUGUUUUUUGUUUUUUGUUUGUUCUUUCACUGCUGUGACUAGUGAGCCUGAGUGGAAGAAGACAUUUCCUUUUACCAUCUAUAUUGCCAGUGCGGGAGGAGGAGUGAGACCUUGACUAGGUAGCUGGUACCACUGCUGCGAUCUAGCUGUUCAGCUACCCUGCUCAGGCCCAAUAUGGUGGCUUUACAGUUUCUGUCAGGCAAAACAGCCAAGCCAUUCUGGUUUGAAGGUUUGUUUCAUCUUGUCAUCAAGCCCAUGUGACUCAGGGGCUUCCCAGGAGGUAGGACAUUUCCUAUGGAAACUGGAACAAUCGAGACACACCAGCGUGAGGUGUCACCCUAAUGGCAGCUUGUGCUUUAGAAAUGUGACCUUUCACUCAGAGGACACACCUGAUACACACUGGUGGGCGGGUCCUCACUCCCAGUUGUUCCCCUCCAGCUCCUUUCUUCCAGGGGGCUGAUGGCCUACUCUCCCUCUCCACCUAGGCCACUACUCUCAGCUCCCAGCAGAGCUGGCUUCUGUUCCCGAGGCUGCAUGGAACACCCCCAGUCCCCAGAAUCACUCAGCUACACCUGAAGACUCGAAUGCUGCUGUCUUGCUUUGAAACCUGCCCUGACUGACUCCUGGUCCUUUGUGACCGACAGUUCUGGCGAUUCUGUUUUUAAGCCUCCUACAUAGUUUUGAGUGGACUACAUUUCUCUUUUAUCAGGUUAUUAGCUGGGGCCAAGGGAAUGCUUGAAGUGUCUAGGAGCCUCUGCAAUCAUUUGUAAAGGGAACUGUGUGAACUAUGCCUUGGCUGUGCCCUCAAAUGUCCCUUUUCAAGCUGAUUUUAAAGCUUACCUUAAAUCUUAUUGUUUCUGGCUCCUUCUCUCACUCCAAACACAUAGCUCUCGAGACUGUCUGCAUUGUAAGAACUAGCAAGGUACUUAUCACAAAACAAGUCCCCAGAUGAUCUUAUGUGGAUCUCCUUGGUGAGAAUUUCAGGUGGGCCUUCACCUCUACAUGAUUAUAGAUUCUGGUGCCAACAGUCCUAGAAGGGCUCUCCUCAUGGUUCUCACCAUGGCCAAGGUUCACGGUGAUUACUGGUAUGUCCAGAGACCCCGGGUAAUGAAGUUCUCAUCCUGACACUAUAUUUCAGACUACUGGCUACACUUCAGGUAUGUCAAAAUCAACAGGCUCAAACAAAACCUUUACAAUGUUUCCUACAAUAGGAAGUGCCAGCCAUCCCUCCUCCAGGCUGUGCUUGAUUUGUGAGUCGUUUCAGAUGCUCGUCUCUUCAAGACCUGCCCUCUGUGGCCACUAGGCCAGCUGUUCUAUUUCUUAAACAUAUUGUAGGUCUCCUGCUCUCCGCCCUCCUGGCUUGCUGGUGUUUGAAGCCAUCAUCAUCUACACCUCAUCUACAACAUCGUAAUAGCUUCCUGGCUACUUUCCUAUCUCUGGGUUCCAGUCUCUGGAGUCUCAAUGUACCUCUGAUGAGGUCAGAGGAAGAACUUCCAAGGCAGGUGGGCCUGCCUCUUCAAGCCUCACUGGGACCUGACUACUCCACAGAGGCUUUUAUGACCUCAGACAAAGUGCUUGUCUGUGGCUUGAUCUUAACUGUUGCUCUCCUUCCUUUCCUCACUUCCCUGGUGCUUUACCUGGGGGAUUAAGAUGUAUGCCUUGUCAGCAUGGAAGGCACGGCCUGGGCUCCUGGGAGACCCUCAGAACUCUUCAAUUCCAUCCUCCAAACAAGUCCUCAGCUGGGUCCCUCCCCGAUGUAGUCUGGUGGAAAUAUGGCUCCUAACAGCUGCCACAGCAGCACCCACCCACGUGUUUAUACUGCUCCUGCACCUGUGGCAUCCCACCCAAGAGGAAGGGCAAAGGAAGAGCCUGUCACCACAGCAGAACCAGAAGAAAGCUCUAGUCCCGUUCUGCGACUAGCCUGCAGGACAUGGCCAGGUUCUGGCCCUGCGUAGGUUUGUUUCCUCACCUGCCAUCAAUUUCUAGCUUACUGAACAUGGCGUUAAUUAAAUAGCAUUUUAACCUACA